CACCAAAUUCACCGUCGAGUACGACAGGGUCAAGACCAAGCUCUACCGCAAGGUCACCGGACACAAGUCCGUGCGCGACGAGGUCGCCGCGGGAGGAGGGCUACGCAUUCAGGCUCGGCGACAGAGUCGACGCCAUCCUGGCCGGCGGUUGGUGGGAGGGGGUGGUGAUGGAGGUGUCGGACGACGCGCGUUUCGAGGUGUUCUUUCAGAGUGUGAAGCAGAAGUUUGAGUUUGAGGCGGAGGAGCUGAGGCUUGGCUUCAUAGGGAGUGGGUCCGAGGGGCUUGGCUUCGUCCUCUGAAGGAUGUGCCAAAUACCAAGGACAAAAAGGCACAGGUGAAGGAAGAAAUUGGAGUAGGGACAGAAGUUGAGGUUUCCAAUGAUGAAGAUGGAUUUCAAGGCUCAUGGUUUGCGGCCACUGUUGUCCAAGUAGUGGAGAAGGACAAAUUUCUUGUUCAGUAUAAGAGCUUAAAAACAGAUGAUGGUAAAAUGUUCUUGACAGAAGAAAUUGAUGCAGGGCACUUGAGGCCUUGUCCGCCUGAAACUGUUAUGGUCGAUUGUUAAUGUCUGAAUGACGAGGUUGAUGCUUACUGGAAUGAAGGAUGGUGGGAAGGUAGGAUACAGAAGGUGCUAAAAAGGGGGAAGGUACAGAGUUUACUUCGAGGGUACUGAUGAUACAAUGGUGUUUGACCACUCCGAUUUAAGGCCACGCCAACUUUGGAUAGAUCGAAUUUGGAUUCUGGCUUCUCAGGCACUAAAGCAGUGAAGUAUCGCGGAGAGUUCUCUAUUCCAUGUGGAGGCUAUCGGUUCAAACCAGCUAUUGAAACAGCAAAACAUUAGACUGAGGAUUGACUGUAGUAUAGGCUAUCGGGUCGUAUGUAACUUAAG